rnacentral:lncRNA from 1 species
UUACAAUUCAAGAGACGUCCUGCUCCAGAAAUGAGUCCAUUGCUGAUAUCUCCAAGUGCAAGCCUCUCCCAUUUGAAAAGGCUCAUACCGGUUUCUGCAGAGGCUCUGUGGUGAACAGCCAAGUUGAUCAUCAUCAGUUUGUCAGGAUAGACUGCAAAAUCUAUGAGCCACAGGUGCCUGCCAUUGAGAAGCAGAAGGAGACAGACGGCCAUAAACUAGGUCAUGGCAGAGAUGGAAGUCAUGAAGAUCCUCAUCACCCCAGAAGGAAAGGGGCCCAUCCCCAUCAGAAGCACCAGCAUGGGCACAGGCAGCAUGAAGAAAAGCACCCAUCUCCCACUGAAGCUAGUGAGGCAGCCCUCUAUCUAGAAAAAACAGUGGGGUGGGUGAAAGUUCUCCCGCCCCAACAAGAACAUGUUUCUCUCCACACCUUACCAGAAAGUCCAGUUGAAUACAUAGAUGGGAAUCCUGUUCUCCCUGAGGUAGGAAAGCCUGUGCCCAACCUUCCAGAUAUCCAUGGUGCUCCUGAUGGGGAAAAGAUUCUGACAGAUGGACCAAGAGGGAACCUGGGCUUGAUCAAACCCAAAACUGGCCCAGUCUUUCUCUCUUUCCCUAAUGAGCUUUCACAUUCGGACACAUGCCCAGGAGAACCCACAACUUCAGAUUCCUUUAUCCUGAAUCUGCUGCCCAGAAAACUCAUCAAAGAAUUACCAACUGCAACCCCACUAUCAUAAGCUGCAGCUAUGCAGCAGAGUUCAGUCUUCCCUAUUAAACCUUUCAAUAAAUAAAAUAUUCUUUACA